rnacentral:misc_RNA from 1 species
GGAAGCGCUUCGGCGUUACCUGAACGUCAAAACCCUCUCACUUCGGUGUGACACACAACCCAGCUUUCAGGGACCGAGCGCCCGCCGCUUCUGCGGCAGGCCUCGGUCUCCAAUCCGCGGCGGACAUGCGCCGCCCGCGGACUGAUCUCUGACAAGUGAAUAGAUACGAUUGAAGCGUCCAAGCAUAGCUGCGGGCACGCGACGGAGCCUCGUUCAUCGAGCUCCGGGCGCGAGCUCGACGCGUGCCAUGGGGUAC